rnacentral:rRNA from 1 species
AUUGAACGCUGGCGGCAUGCCUUACACAUGCAAGUCGAACGGCAGCACGGGAGCAAUCCUGGUGGCGAGUGGCGAACGGGUGAGUAAUAUAUCGGAACGUGCCCGGUCGUGGGGGAUAACGUAGCGAAAGCUACGCUAAUACCGCAUACUAUCUAUGGAUGAAAGCGGGGGAUCGCAAGACCUCGCGCGAUUGGAGCGGCCGAUAUCAGAUUAGGUAGUUGGUGAGGUAAAGGCUCACCAAGCCGACGAUCUGUAGCUGGUCUGAGAGGACGACCAGCCACACUGGGACUGAGACACGGCCCAGACUCCUACGGGAGGCAGCAGUGGGGAAUUUUGGACAAUGGGCGCAAGCCUGAUCCAGCAAUGCCGCGUGCAGGAUGAAGGCCUU